rnacentral:rRNA from 1 species
AACGAACGCUGGCGGCGCGUCUUAAGCAUGCAAGUCGAGCGGUAAGUCGGGAGCUUGCUCCUGACCUAGAGCGGCGGACUGGUGAGUAACGCGUGGGUGACGUACCUCUGUGACGGGGACAGCUCCUAGAAAUAGGAGAUAAUACCGGAUACGCUGCAACAUGUCAGAGGUGUUGCAGGAAAGGAUCUUUUGAUUCGCACAGAGAGCGGCCCGCGCACUAUUAGCUUGUUGGUGAGGUAACGGCCCACCAAGGCGACGAUAGUUACCCGGCCUAAGAGGGUGAUCGGGCACAUUGGGACUGAGAUACGGCCCAGACUCC